rnacentral:rRNA from 1 species
GGAGCCUGCGGCUUAAUUUGACUCAACACGGGGAAACUUACCAGGUCCAGACACGGGAAGGAUUGACAGAUUGAGAGCUCUUUCUUGAUUCUGUGGGUGGUGGUGCAUGGCCGUUCUUAGUUGGUGGGUUGCCUUGUCAGGUUGAUUCCGGUAACGAACGAGACCUCAGCCUGCUAAAUAGUCAGCAUCGCACCUGCGGUGCGCCGACUUCUUAGAGGGACUAUUGGCGUUUAGCCAAUGGAAGUAUGAGGCGAUAACAGGUCUGUGAUGCCCUUAGAUGUUCUGGGCCGCACGCGCGCUACACUGAUGCGUUCAACGAGCCUAUCCUUUGCCGAGAGGCACGGGUAAUCUUGAAAACCGCAUCGUGAUGGGGAUAGAUUAUUGCAAUUAUUAGUCUUCAACGAGGAAUGCCUAGUAAGCGCGAGUCAUCAGCUCGCGUUGAUUACGUCCCUGCCCUUUGUACACACCGCCCGUCGCUCCUACCGAUUGGGUGUGCUGGUGAAGUGUUCGGAUUGAUCUUGGCUGGGGCAACCUGGCCUUGAUUGAAAAAGUUCAUUUAAACCCUCCCACCUAGAGGAAGGAGAAGUCGUAACAAGGUUUCCCGUAGGUGAACCUGCGGAAGGAUCAUUGAAUCUAUCACAAUCCACACCGCGAACCAUCAUUGUUGCCUUCUGAAGUGGGUCAAACCGCCUCAGAGCCGGGGGUCGUAAGCUGAAACAUUGCUUGCGUGCUCCCGGGUCGUCUGGCAUGCGCUUGCCGCAUGUUGGGCGUCGGUCUUAUCUAUACUAACCAACCAACACCAAACCAAAUCUAAUCUAUAAACCGAGUGCUUGGCUUAGAGCCAACGCUCACCAACCAAGACAACUCUCAACAACGGAUAUCUUGGGCUCUCGGAUCGAUGAAGAACGCAGCGAAAUGCGAUACGUAGUGUGAAUUGCAGAAAUACGUGAAUCAUCGAAUCUUUGAACGCAAAUUGCGCUCGAGGCUUCGGCCAAGAGCAUGUCUGCCUCAGCGUCGGGUUAAUACUCGCUCCUAAUCCUCCUUCGGGUUGUGAUUGGGAACGGAACUGGCUUUCCCGGCUUGGUUCACUCUAAGCCGGGUCUGCUGAAGUGCAGAGGUUGAUGCAUGGACCCGCUAAAGGGCCUCUACUGGGUAGGCAAUUCAUUGCUAAUGCUUUAGUAGAUGGCUUGGGUAGAUGCCUGUCGACCCUAACCAGGAACUUGGAGCCUUGCGCUCUAAGCAACCCCCUUAUUUUCUCGACCUGAGCUCAGGCAAGAACACCCGCUGAACUUAAGCAUAUCAAUAAGCGGAGAAA